UUCCUCUUGUCCGUCUGUCCGUCUGUCCGUCUGUCUGUUUACGACUCUUUUGCAUCAAUUGAUGCUAAUUAAUUUGCCCCAUGUGCAAAUUAUAGCAAAUUAGUAGCACCAUUGGUCUCGAACAGUCGGUAACACAAAAUGGUGCCAAACAAUUGAGAACAUAGAUGCAAAACACACCAAACGUGCAUAAGAACCGAAAAAAAUAACUAGAAUUUUUACUUUGAAUUUGUCACGAUUUUAUGUCAAAAUUAUGUAUGCAUUUUCCUCGUUUAUUUUCCACCAUUGAUGGAAAAUUAUAUCACAAUUAUGUGUAUCUUUUGUCCGCCCAUUCGGCACCAUUAAUGCAAAAUUAUGCCAAAAUUGUGUAUCCAUUUUAUGUGCCAAUUCUGCACCAUUGGUGCAAAAUUAUGCUAAAAUAAUUAUUGCAGGGUGAGCUACUUCUAACGUUACAACGGUUUAUUUAAGUAAUUUUGAAGUGCAAUAUUUCUCAAAAUGAUUUUAAACUUUAGUCUAAUCCAAAAGUUUGAACAUUGAGAUUCAAGAAACCAAUGCACUUACUAAGGCGACGAAAUUUCGCUUUGAUGUUUUAGACAGUUUGGCCGCUAGCUAGUUAUAAUUCGAAGGAUCGGAUUAAGUUGGAGUUCUUAAAAUACUUCGAAGAUAAAUAAAGUGCGGCAAAGCACGAUACAUAAGUAGCGCAAUAAUGCUGAGAAUGCUGAGAAUGCUGAGAAUAAAUUUGCGCAAUUAAAUAAUUAAUUAAUUGAUUAAUUAAUUAAUUAAUUAAUUCAUUAGAAUUAAUUAAUUGAUCACACCGCGACCGCACCCCCUGUCGUCGAGGGGGUGUGGCACAAUUCAGAUACACGUAAUUUAACUGGAUUUCAUCCAUAGAUUAAUUUGCGCCAUAAAUCUCAUUUUGCCCCGAUCACACCGCGACCACACCCCCUGGUGCCGAGGGGGUGUGGUCCAAAAGUUUACGGGAUCCUCCCCUGGGGUCAUGUGUAUGAUGCCGCAAACCGAUUUCGAUUAUCUUGAUGCGUUCUCGAGUUAUAGUGUUGACCGACAGACAGACAGACAGACAGACAGACAUCCUAACUAACCAAUCGCAUAAAAUAGCUUGCGCUACUUAAUAAGGGAGUUGCAUAUUGAAAAGCUGUUCUCAUCUUCAACAAUUAGAAGCAUUUUUUAAAUUUACAACAACUUCUCUUCCUCUACUCCUGAUGAAACAGAUUUUAUUUAUGCUGGCAUGAUUUUGUAUGCAAAGCGUUCAAAUUAGCAGAUAAAUUAUUUGAAGCUAUCUUUGCUACAGAGGUGCGUUAAAUAAUGCACGAAUUAUUAUGGUCGAUCCAGAAAGUACUGAGCUAUGGAAUUCUCGGGAGGCUAAAUGGCCGACCUCGCCAUAAGAAAUAACAUGUAGAGUUUGAAAAUUCACCGUAAGGUCAGUUCUUGACCGAUUUUCAAAAUCCCGCCCGUUUUGGAAGCAUUGAACCCUUGGGCGAAAUACGUAAGAAAGAUUUUUAAUAUUCGACCCCAUUCCCCCGUUAUUGAGGUCACAAGGUCAACAAACAAGUAGAAAUUAUUUAUAGAAUUUGAAAUUUCUACGACCGUAUUCGAAGGUCGUCGACGUAAAUUCUUGGCAACAGAGAAACCAGAUUUAAAUAAUUUCCUCAAUUGAUAAAGUUUAACAACAGCUUGAGAGACAAUUUUGGAAAUGUGAUAACUCCACUCAUACUUCGAAGUGAAAUGUACCCCAAAUAAUUUUAGCUUAUCAACAACAGGAAUUUUAACAUUAUUAUAUAAAAAUCAAUCAAUAAAAAUCACUACUUCAAGAACUAGUGUAAAUUCUGGGUUAUGACAGCAUAUUGCGAAUUUUGUAAUUUAAAUACGUAUGCACUUGUGCUUUAAGACAAAGCUUAACUCGAACUGUAAUUACUGCUAAAAAUUUGAAUUACUUAUGUAAGUAUGUAUCUAACAGAAAAUGCAAAAUAAACUGUGAUUCGAAAAAGCCCUUGAUACCUUAUUGUCUGGGGAUUAAGAUUAGACCCAAUUUUGCAUGGCAUUCUUAAAUAUACAGACCAUAAUGUUAGGUAAGAGUGUCUGGCAUGUAUUCAUAAGACGUGACUACCAUUACCACAUGAGUCAUUAUUUUUGUUACAAUAUUACAAUUCCGUAUUCAUGUAAAAAUUUCUAUUUGAACUUCAACAAUACGAUGUACCCACAAAAGCCAUACAAAUGUGCUUGCAUGAAAUAUAAACAAGGCGUCUCAUAAUAUUUCAAAAAAUAAAUGAAUUUAUACGAUGAGUUUUAUGAAAAACUAUCGAAAUUCAGAGUAAUUAACCAACAUUAAAAACAAAUUUGCGAAAAACGUUCAAGUCUUAUCGCUUCACCAAAAGACAUGAAACCGUUUGUCUCACACAGAAUUCCUGUACCACAAGUGGGGUCAACGUUUCUACGAAAUUAUUCCCAAACUCCAACCUCAACGACAUCAGCGAUUUGUGCAUCCUUCUCUCUAAUUUUUUGUCACCGCUCCCCUUAAACUUUGCGAUCCAAUUUACACUCAAACUAUUAAUCUGCGCCGCCGCAGAGAACAAUAACAUUGUAAAAACCAGGACAAGAAAGUAAGCCCAUAGGAACAAAGAUGCCUCAAAGUUGGAGAUGUGCUCAGAAUGAAAUAAUUUGAGGGACGUGUAACACAAUAAAAUUUGCAAGCCUGGCACUAAAAGUGCCGUGAUGAGGAAAAUUCGUGAUUUUGUGCAAUAAUUUAACAGUUUUUCGUAAACUUUUAGCUCCUUGUAGGCCAGAAGCCAGGCAAUAUUGCCAGCCGGGGUGUAACCAUGGACAAAGGUUGUGCAGGACAUCCACAAAAAUGAGAUUCCAUGGAGUAAUACAGUUGCCAGAUGGUGGUGUGACUUUGUCCGGUGAGAAGGCCGCCAUCCUUGCAGAAUAGACAGCUUAACUGGAUGGGCUGACAACGAGUUAGAAUCGUGAGGGUGGAUAUGAUCACGGACAGGAACAAACUUGUCACCUCAGCAGCGCCGUAUAAGAAAUUGAUGCAGAGUUGGAGCUUAGUGCCACCUGGGAAUAGUUGAAUGGAUUAAUGAUAGGAAAUUGGAUUUUACACGGGGCGGAAAAUUACACCACGGGGAGUGGAUAUUCAUACAUUUCUGAGUGGGAAUGGGAGACUUCCGGCUGUGUCAAAUCCUUCACAGGAUCUCGUCCCAAAUCCCUGAGAAUGACAGGAGUACCCGGAUCGAUAAACGCACCGAGCAUUAAUUUCUACCCGGAGGCUGACUUCGAGGGAGAACAUACCCUAGUGGCUGAUGACAUCCCGGAUGUGGACCUACAGAUCUGUUAUGGUCACCGGUCGCAGUUCUUAUUGGCUGCUGUAUCCAGCUGUACCUCGGUUUUCCUGCCUGUGUGGAUAAUACGAAUUAUAAUACCUCCUCGAUAAGAGUGAGGUCUGUUAAGAGACACACGGAAAGGUGCCCGUGCCUCUUUUGUGACAAGGUGGAACAGAAACAGCCAAACAUUGUGCGAAUUGCUAAACCCGUUUGAAAUCAUGAUUAUGUAAUAUCAAUUUAUGUAAAAUAAACAAAUGCACCUUUGUUGAGUAUGUGUUUAAGAGUACAAAAACAAAAUA